rnacentral:rRNA from 1 species
GAUGAACGCUAGCGGCAGGCCUAACACAUGCAAGUCGAGGGGCAGCACAAAACAAGCUUGCUUGUUUGGUGGCGACCGGCGCACGGGUGCGUAACGCGUAUGCAACCUACCCUGUACUGGGGGAUAGCCCGGAGAAAUUCGGAUUAAGACCCCAUAGUAUAUAUUGAUCGCAUGGUUGAUAUAUUAAAGGUUACGGUACAGGAUGGGCAUGCGUCCUAUUAGCUUGUUGGUGAGGUAACGGCUCACCAAG